rnacentral:misc_RNA from 1 species
AUCUAAUUAUAUCCCCUGGCUUGAUUUCCAAAACUACAAACCUAAACUAUAAUCCACCAAGAAUGAUUACAAGAAAUGAACUCUUGUGGGGUUGCAGUGAAGGAGAAAAAGAGACUGCAAAACCCAUUAAAAUAUCACUGUAAACGACAUCCAUAAUCAUUCUCCUUUCCUUCUUCUCCUUGCCAUCUAUCUUCUUUUCUCCUGCGCGCUGCCUUUCCUCUAUUCCCUUACCGUCGAUUUCGAUAGUCCCUCCUCCUUUCUUAGUCACCAAUGGUGAUGGGUAACGGG